GGACUCCACACGUCCUCUCAGUAAAUCCCAGGAGACAGGACCCCAGAGGCAUUGCUCUCAUUCAGUGCUCUCGCCUCCCUCCUGGAUUGCCUAGUCAGAGUGAGACAUGGAGAGGGGCUGAUGUAACCACCCCAGCAGGAGUAAGGAGGCUGGAAGGAGGAAACCAGUGAUGAAGGAUUUGCCAUAACCUUGUCCUGGAUGGAGAGCCAUGGCCAAAGUGGGUGGAGAGGAAUGGCCAUGCAAGGCAGCUGUGAUGGAUUCACCUCUGUGCAAGACAGCUAUGACGGAGUUGAUAGAAAGUGUGAGAACAUGGGCCACCCCUCCUUGGAUGUUUUCUUUCCAGAUUGGAAUGGUGUGAUUCUAAGAGUCCUGGGACAGAAGGAGUAUUGGAGGUGUCAAGGGGCUGGACCGGUGAGGACAGGAGUCGAAUGUGCCCCUGAUCUCUGUCCCUCUCCUCGGGGCUGCAGCCCUUGUGACAUCGAAGUGCCCCACCCCCUCCUUCGGCUUCCCUCGCUGCUGCGCAGAGGCCACUGGAGGGCGCUGUCUCCUCACACUUCUGGCUGAGCUCACCUCCGCUGUCUGAACCUCCUUUUGAGGCUGGAGAGAAAUUGAGAGGCCUGGAGCCAGUGUCUGGGAGGCCUCUGGACACAGCUGGACCCACCGAGGCCACAUGGGGUCAGUAGGAUCUGAGCCUGUGGAAGGAGGUGCCAGAGCAAUGACUAGGAGUCAAAGUCCUGGGCUUCAGGGCGAGGGCUUGUGGUGAGCUCUGGACAAAUGGCUUUGUCUGUUCGAUCCUCAGUUUUUGUAUCUGCAGACUGUGGAGAGUGACCCACCUUAUGGCACUGUUGUGAGAAGUGCUACAAAUGAGAAUGUACAUGUGAGUGCUUCAAAGAACUCAGAUGUUCUCCAUGCCAGAGUGGGUUUUAUUUAUUUAUUUAUUUUUUGAUGGAGUCUUGCUCUGUUGCCCAGGCU
rnacentral:lncRNA from 1 species